rnacentral:rRNA from 1 species
GAUGAACGCUGGCGGCGUGCCUAAUACAUGCAAGUCGUACGGAAAGGCCCUUCGGGGUACUCGAGUGGCGGACGGCUGAGUAACGCGUGGGAACGUGCCCCAAAGUCGUGGAUAACGAACCGCAAGGAGUGCUAAUACCGCAUAUGGUCUUCGGAUUUAAGCUUCGGCGCUUUGGGAGCGGCCCGCGUACGAUUAGAUAGUUGGUGAGGUAAUGGCUCACCAAGGCGACGAUCGUUAGCUGGUCUGAGAGGAUGAUCAGCCAGACUGGGACUGAGACACGGCCCAGACUCCUACGGGAGGCAGCAGUAAGGAAUCUUCCACAAUGGGGGCAACCCUGAUGGAGCAACGCCGCGUGCAGGAUGAAGGUUUUCGGAUCGUAAACUGCUUUUAUAAGUGAAGAAUAUGACGGUAACUGAUGAAUAAGGAUCGGCUAACUACGUGCCAGCCGCCGCCGUAA